rnacentral:misc_RNA from 1 species
GGCGGCUCGCAUCCACUAUACAUCCAUAAACCCGUGUGCACUGUUCUAAGGAGUAAGAAAGAAGGGAGGGAGAGUAGCAUGUGCUUUGCAUAUAACUCUCUCUCGCUCUCUUUCUCUCUCCGGUUAAUUACAAACUCGUAUGGAUUUGUAUGAACGUGAGACAUAUCGUUGGACCGUCACUGGCCAACAAAUAUAACACAACUUUCGACAACGGAUCUCUUGGUUCUCCCAUCGAUGAAGAACGCAGCGAAACGCGAUAGGUAAUGUGAAUUGCAGAAUUCCGUGAAUCAUCGAAUCUUUGAACGCACCUUGCGCUCUAUGGUAUUCCGUAGAGCAUGCCUGUUUGAGUGCCGUGAAUUCUCCCAUCCCAAGCGGUUUUUAUCAAAGAAUUGCUAGGCGAAGGGGUUGAGAUGGGCGUUGUUAUAACUGCUUUUCUUCUCUAGGAAAGCUCGCCCGAAAAACAGCUAACGCCU